GCUUCUGUGGUGUAAGUAUAACACGAUACGUUUUCGCUGUAUAGUUAAAAUAUUUUUUUAGAAGCU
rnacentral:tRNA from 1 species